UACGAAGGGGGCGAGCGUUGUUCGGAUUUACUGGGCGUAAAGGGCGCGCAGGCGGCCGCUCAAGUCAGGCGUGAAAGCCCCGGGCUUAACCUGGGAACUGCGUCUGGGACUGAGUGGCUAGAGUUCGGGAGAGGAGAGUGGAAUUCCCAGUGUAGAGGUGAAAUCCGUAGAUAUUGGGAAGAACACCGGUGGCGAAGGCGGCUCUCUGGACCGAGACUGACGCUGAGGCGCGAAAGCGUGGGGAGCAAACAGG
rnacentral:rRNA from 1 species